CAGAACAAUCAACUAAAUAAAAAAAUGCAGUAUAAUUUCCAAGAAGAAGCGGUUCUUCGGUCACGUUCAGUUCGAAAUUUGAGAUGCUUAGCGCAUCCUGUGAGAGGUGCAACACGAAGAGGCGAGAACGUGCAUACUCUCUUCUCGCUACACUGCCGAUGCAUUAGUCUAAUUGAAAUCCGGAUGGCAUGGCGCGCGUGACCGUACACUGACUCAAGCUGUCACGCUUUCAAAUAGGUAUAGGCGUGUCAUAGAUGUGCGCCAGGGUUGCUCACUUGCUACAUACCGGGUGACGCGUCCACGUCGUCGCCGUUCUUCGUCACGCGAUCGUUAAUGAAAUCGGAACGGUAUCGGCUGGAUCGUCGUAGUGGAUCCUCGAAUCCAAUUCGAGCGAAAUAUUUCCGCGAGGAAAUCUCUCUAACGUUAAAAAUGAAGAUAUUCUAUAUGGUGAAAGCUUUACAAACUAGCAGAUGGCGCUAUUAAGGAAGAAAACGCUGAUACCGAUCGACCCAAAAUCAUCGAGUCCCUUUUAUGGAAAGUCAAACGUCACCGAUUGCGGAAGGCGAGACGACAGGUAAGAAUGAAACAGCACGAAGAAACGUGACGGUGCAUCAGGAAGAUGGUAAAUCAUUAACCUUGCUUACUCGAGCCAACGGGUCGUGGAAUUUGUAUGCGUCAUAGGAUACGCGGGCAUCUUCAGCGACGCUUAAAGAGACGCGAGAAUUAUAAUGCAUUGCCACACGUUCAUCUUGCGGACGCAGUGACAAUGCAUAUGUCUUAGGCUACCGAAGAUAAUGGAUCUACUGCGUCGGACCACACGACUCGACGCAUAGCUGACGACUAAGAUCAAAAACGCUUCGGAAUAAUGAAUUAGAAAAUUCCAUCAAUUCGCGUCAUAAACAAAAAAAUUCCUCCCUAUUUCUGCGUUACGUCAUUACAAUUAUACGGAUUA